CUUUGAAAACCGCAUGUACUCUUUGAGAAUAGAAUGUGGCGAGAUGUAUCCAGACGAGCCUCCCUCCAUCUUCUUCGUCAACAGGAUCAAUUUGCAGGGUGUCAACCAACAGACUGGAGCUGUCGACCCUCGUCACAUAGGCGCUCUGAGCCAGUGGCAGCGUGUGUACACCAUCAAGACAGUUCUCCAGGAGCUAAGACGGCAAAUGACGCAGAAGGAGAACAUGAGACUUGCUCAGCCCCCUGAGGGUACCUCCUACUAGCGUUCCCAAAACAGACAGUCUCCCUCCACGUCCCAUUUGCGAUUCAAUGACCCCUCAAAUGUUCCUUUAAGUGCUUCUGCUCUUCGACAAAACCGUAGACACUUGCAGCGCUGCCCUAACGUCUCAGACUCGCAGGAGUCUCAGCUGGAGUCUAUUGGCAGUUCUGGUGGCAGUCCUGCGCACGGCAACCGCUUGGGUGCCCAGCAAGGGUCGCGAGAGAGCGCGGUGCUCAGCCGCGACGAGGAUGGCAAUUUACUAGACGUCGCACCCUCUCGCUCUUCUCGGUGCUUCAACUUGCCUGGCAUGUGCUGCUUUGCGGGAUCAUCCGUGCAUCCCAUUGACUAGCUGCUUAGUCCUCUUACCUAACCAAAUUAGAUCGUUGUCGAGGAUUGAAACAUCUCAAUGUUAAGUGACCAGCAUUAUUUAGACUGUGGGUUAGAUGAUUCUGAAAUUUAAGGUAUAAUUCUCAGGGCAAUGAAUGACAGCAUCGGGUAUCAUGUACCAUUUUCUAGAAAAUAAUGCAUAAAUAUAGGCUAUUAUAGGUAGAAAAAUGCUUCAUAUUACUUAGGAUGAUAGUAAUGACCCUGUCCAAGACUGUCUGUUGAAGUUUUCCCGUUCUCUCCAGUAACUGGUGUAUGGUUGAAGCUGUGGCCGGGAGCUAUACGUCAUUAACUAUUCUCUCGUUCAUGUAUGUUAUGCAUUUUGCAAGUCAAGGGCGCCACGCUACUGUUUUCUUACAGCAGCAACACUAAAGUUACUUGUAAAUGAAACAACUCGUUCAAUUUUUAUUCUAUGAUUUAACUCAUUCGGUGGAUAGAUUUCAUUUUGCAUGCGUAAUUCUUCAUAUGAAUCGGAGGGCAUAUAUGAUGUUUGAGUUCAUAUUAACAUUUUGAUCAUCACGAUUUGAGGCUGUGGUCAACAUAAUAUUGUGACAAAUUCUACCUUUUGUGCGUUCAGAACAUGAUAAUAGAUUAAAACAUUUAAUUUCAAGUUGAUUUUAACCCAUUUUCUAAUCUGUAGACCAUAGUUACAUAGUCAUGUGUAAAAUGAAAAUCAGCUAACUUUGCUCCACUUAAUCUUAAUCCCCACAAAUGCCUGUACUAGUGAAAUUUUCCUAAGAGCUCCUAUCUCCUCCAGUUUUUCAACUUGUUAAGUGUUCUUCAAACUGGUGGUUGUUACCUAACACUUGAUAUAAGUUUUCUCGUGAGUCAAUCUUAUACGUUUGCUUCCCGCAUUCCCCCUAAACACUGCACCUUAUUUGUGAUCAUCAUCUCACACUCUUCUAUAUAACUGAAUGUAGUCGCGGAUUAUCUUAUAUGAUGUCAUUAGUGUUGUUUUCAUCAUAUGAUUCACUCGGUGUGCCGAGCGGCAUAUAGGGUAUGCCUACUUGUGCUUUAAUUGUCAUUCUUUACAAUGGUUUAUUAAUUUUGGUUCAAUUUCUUGAGUGUGAUAUUUCUGUAGUCACGUAAAUAUUUCUCUUCACAAUCUAUCCGUCGCCGUGAUGAAUUUUUGUUUUUACCAUCUAUUAAUGACCAAAUUCAUGGAUGGUUUUCUCAAAAAUAUUCCCUCCGUCAUUCUCCUUCCUAGAUUGAUAUCAAGUGAAUUUCUGCUUCUGCUCUGUGAUUGGAUACCAACCAAACAAAACAUGAACAUUUUCAACACUUUGCACGACAUUAAAUUCUUUUAAUACCAGAAAAUUGUGAGGCUCAAAUCAAUGUCAUUCGUCACGCAAUUCUUUAUUUACAAAUUAUAUAAAGUUUUUUUUUUUACUGACAUCUCCAAAAAUUUCACUGACAAAAAUUUUUGGCUGAGAAGAAUGAAUUAAUGCAACCCGGUGUAUGUAUUAUUAUUUGUUUGAUGUCUCAAUGCGCGCGGUUUUUUUUCCUCUUGAUGUGUUAUUUUUUUUCUUCUUCAUCUUGUAUCUAAAAGCAAACUUUUAUAUUUUCUGCAGUUCGGCUUGAAGGAUUUGGAGGCAUCCCCUGCAUGUUGCUCUCAACUUUUUCCUCUUAAGCGUCCGGCUAGCUGCCCUUGACGUCUAUAGUAGCGUCUUACAAUCGUCAGCUGCUGGGUGAAAAUUUCCUUGGCUUCUGGUUACUUCAAAUGCUAAGGCAUGAUUUCAUUGCAUUGAAGACAUUUUGUCUUCGAGCUUGAGUUCAACUAUGCGCCGCUUGCGGGGGUCUCCUGAAAAAGGGAGACCGGGGAACCCCAACAACAUCAAAACUUUGCCGCUUGUAGAAAAGUUGCUCUAAAGCACAUCGAAAGCUCUUGUCGGAAACACGUGUUUCUGUAUUGGGUCUGCUACAAUAUGUUUAGCUUGUAUUUUGAACUUUGAAGAUAACUGGGGUUUGUUUAUACGAUCUUUCACUCGCUGAUCGUUUCUAAAUCCAGCCAUUACUUAUUAUUCAUCCGUAUUUCUAUCGUGCAUUUGUAGAUCACAAUCUGGGAAUAUUCAGUCGAUUUUUCGGAAUGUUUGAGUGUCUUGCGUUGUCUUUUUUUCUUUUUGGUUUAAUAAAGCGUCAACGGAACGUUAGACCUAAAUCCUUUGCAUGAAUUUUAAUUUCAACAUCUGCAUUAUGCUCAGUCCGAGUUUAAUUUGUAAUUCUCAUAUUAAACUGAGUUACAAAUUAUACAAAUUUCUUGGCUUCUAUAAUAUCCUGCUCACCACAAUUAUUUUUCAGUUACUCAUAAGAACAGUGAGUCAAGCCAAUAUAUAUUAGUGAUCAGAUUUUAUUUGAAUUCUUAUUUUGUGGGGCAGUUAAAAUUUCCGCUGGUGUUUGCGCGUUGCGGGCUUCGAAACAAGACUCGUUCUUCAGUGCACUUGUACUGUUCUCUCAAAUAGUUCACAAAAUAACCCUCGUCUUGUCAUUACUCACCUUCAUGACUUUUUCUGGUGUCCUUCCAGAGCCUGAUUUUCCUCUCAACAGGUAUACUUCGUAAUGGUCAUCUGAUCAUUAAACUUUCUCAGUAAGACUUCCCUCUGUGUUCCGGAUUUUUGUGUCGCUUUAUUGCCUCGUAUACUUGCUAUUAAAUUAUGCCGUGAAUCGAUCGGCUAUCAAUAUUUAAAGCUAAAUUUACCAAAACUUGAUUCGGUCUCAAGGCAUAUUGUCGUCUGAUUUAUUUUGAUAGCAGCAUCAACAAUCAAGUUAACCCUUGUUGAUUGCAUUGGUACAAUUUUACCUCAACUCAAUACGAUACGAACGUAAACUUGUGCAGUAUGAAAUGCUUGAAUUACGAGCCCGUACAAAAGUUGCAGCAUCGAUGAUUAGAUGAUAGCUUCUUGUCACCAAAAAGCAUCUCGUGGUUAGUAUUGCUUGUUUUUUUUUCCUUCAACGUUGAUUUAGUGCAUGGCUCAAGACACGUAUGAGUUAGCUACAGAUCGUUAACCGAGUCAACGUCUGUCAUGGAGGUGAUUAACUAUACGUUGCAGAGCCUUUUUACAUGGCAGACCAUGGAAACUCUAUGCUGUCCUGCCCUGUUUAGUUCGGUCGGUCAUGAUACCCUUCAUAUUCGUCGUCAUCGACUGUGUGGACGAGCGGAUGUGUUCACGAUUGAAGUUCAAGGGUUAGUAGCCUUUGACUUGUCAGUUCCCGGCUUAGUUUUAGAGCAUUGUUAACGUGGAACCUCGCACUAACUUUGUCAGCUCUCAUAACUUCUAGGCAAUAUUUCAAAUGAAUAUAUGAAGACGAGCAGAAA